rnacentral:tRNA from 1 species
AGAGUUGUCAGAGUGGCUGAAUGUACCGGAUUGAUAAUCCGGCAGGGGGCAACCCCUCACGGGUUCGAAUCCCGUACUCUCCG